ACAAUGAAGAGUUUGAUCCUGGCUCAGGAUGAACGCUAGCUACAGGCUUAACACAUGCAAGUCGAGGGGCAUCAGGAAGAAAGCUUGCUUUCUUUGCUGGCGACCGGCGCACGGGUGAGUAACACGUAUCCAACCUGCCCUUUACUCGGGGAUAGCCUUUCGAAAGAAAGAUUAAUACCCGAUAGCAUAAUGAUUCCGCAUGGUUUCAUUAUUAAAGGAUUCCGGUAAAGGAUGGGGAUGCGUUCCAUUAGGUUGUUGGUGAGGUAACGGCCCACCAAGCCUUCGAUGGAUAGGGGGUUCUGAGAGGAAGGUCCCCCACAUUGGAACUGAGACACGGUCCAAACUCCUACGGGAGGCAGCAGUGAGGAAUAUUGGUCAAUGGGCGGUAGCCUGAACCAGCCAAGUAGCGUGAAGGAUGAAGGCUCUAUGGGUCGUAAACUUCUUUUAUAUAAGAAUAAAGUGCAGUAUGUAUACUGUUUUGUAUGUAUUAUAUGAAUAAGGAUCGGCUAACUCCGUGCCAGCAGCCGCGGUAAUACGGAGGAUCCGAGCGUUAUCCGGAUUUAUUGGGUUUAAAGGGAGCGUAGGUGGACUGGUAAGUCAGUUGUGAAAGUUUGCGGCUCAACCGUAAAAUUGCAGUUGAUACUGUCAGUCUUGAGUACAGUAGAGGUGGGCGGAAUUCGUGGUGUAGCGGUGAAAUGCUUAGAUAUCACGAAGAACUCCGAUUGCGAAGGCAGCUCACUGGACUGCAACUGACACUGAUGCUCGAAAGUGUGGGUAUCAAACAGGAUUAGAUACCCUGGUAGUCCACACAGUAAACGAUGAAUACUCGCUGUUUGCGAUAUACAGUAAGCGGCCAAGCGAAAGCAUUAAGUAUUCCACCUGGGGAGUACGCCGGCAACGGUGAAACUCAAAGGAAUUGACGGGGGCCCGCACAAGCGGAGGAACAUGUGGUUUAAUUCGAUGAUACGCGAGGAACCUUACCCGGGCUUAAAUUGCAGUGGAAUGAUGUGGAAACAUGUCAGUGAGCAAUCACCGCUGUGAAGGUGCUGCAUGGUUGUCGUCAGCUCGUGCCGUGAGGUGUCGGCUUAAGUGCCAUAACGAGCGCAACCCUUAUCUUCAGUUACUAACAGGUCAUGCUGAGGACUCUGGAGAGACUGCCGUCGUAAGAUGUGAGGAAGGUGGGGAUGACGUCAAAUCAGCACGGCCCUUACGUCCGGGGCUACACACGUGUUACAAUGGGGGGUACAGAAGGCAGCUAGCGGGUGACCGUAUGCUAAUCCCAAAAUCCUCUCUCAGUUCGGAUCGAAGUCUGCAACCCGACUUCGUGAAGCUGGAUUCGCUAGUAAUCGCGCAUCAGCCACGGCGCGGUGAAUACGUUCCCGGGCCUUGUACACACCGCCCGUCAAGCCAUGGGAGCCGGGGGUACCUGAAGUACGUAACCGCAAGGAUCGUCCUAGGGUAAAACUGGUGACUGGGGCUAAGUCGUAACAAGGUAGCCGUACCGGAAGGUGCGGCUGGAACACCUCCUUU
rnacentral:rRNA from 1 species